GUAUAUAACGAAGCUUUUUAUAGCUGAACCGUAUCUGUCUGCUUUGAUCGGAGGUGAAGUGUUGGGAUAUAUACUCUACGAUUGCACACACUAUCACCUGCACCAUGCAAAAUCAUCCACCCCUCUUCUACUCGAGAAGCGAUACCACAUGAGUCAUCACUUCAGAAUGCAAGAGAAAGGAUUUGGAGUUACUACAACAUUUUGGGACUGGGUGUUUGGGACACUGCCUUCAAACUAAAAGUACUGUUGAAAUAGCCGAUGUGCAUAUAUGAUUAUAUUUGAAUAUAAUUCUAGUAUCAGGAUUAAUUAUUAGGCUAAAUAAUUUUAUCAUUGUAAGAUCAUAAAAUUUGAAGAAGAUUCAUGUUAAGUUAUUGGGCUCUUUAUUUAUUUCACUGUUGGGCUUUCUCGGACCUUGGGCUAUUAUAUUUUUGUUUAUAUUUAUUUCAGUGUUAGGCUCUCUUGAGCCUUGGG